CUACGGGAUAUUUUUGGAGCUGGGGGCCUUGGGCUGCAUCGACCCGAGGAAAGGAAAGACAGUGGAAAGGAAAAUGGACAAGAAAAGGAACCGCAAGCUAGAAUACCUCCUCUCUCCUUUUUAAACACAAAAAACCAAAAACCAAAAACCAAUCACACAAAUAAACAGAGCUGGACACAGCAGCCCUCCAGGAGCAAGGUUGGAGCUCAGACAGGCCAAACAACCCGGGGUCACAUGACGAGGCGGAUGGAUAGUAGGAUAUAGAGGACGGUUAUUGUCGACAAGCUAUGAGACCGAGAAUGUAGAGAAACACAAAGCAGGUGGCAGAAUGGGACGGAGUGGGGAGGUUGGAAGUAGCCAGGAUGUCACGAUGAUUUGGAGGC
rnacentral:sRNA from 1 species